rnacentral:rRNA from 1 species
UGACAGUACUCCUACGGGGAGGCAGCAGUGGGGGAAUAUUGCACAAUGGGCGCAAGCCUGAUGCAGCCAUGCCGCGUGUGUGAAGAAGGCCUUCGGGUUGUUAAAGCACUUUCAGUCGUGAGGAAGGUAGUGUAGUUAAUAGCUGCAUUAUUUGACGUUAGCGACAGAAGAAGCACCGGCUAACUCCGUGCCAGCAGCCGCGGUAAUACGGAGGGUGCGAGCGUUAAUCGGAAUUACUGGGCGUAAAGCGCAUGCAGGUGGUUUGUUAAGUCAGAUGUGAAAGCCCGGGGCGUCAACCUCGGAAUAGCAUUUGAAACUGGCAGACUAGAGUACUGUAGAGGGGGGUAGGAAUUUCAGGUGUAGCGGUGAAAUGCGUAGAGAUCUGAAGGAAUACCGGUGGCGAAGGCGGCCCCCUGGACAGAUACUGACACUCAGAUGCGAAAGCGUGGGGAGCAAACAGGAUUAGAUACCCCUGGUAG